GAUGAACGCUGGCGGCGUGCCUAAUACAUGCAAGUCGAGCGAACGGACGAGAAGCUUGCUUCUCUGAUGUUAGCGGCGGACGGGUGAGUAACACGUGGAUAACCUACCUAUAAGACUGGGAUAACUUCGGGAAACCGGAGCUAAUACCGGAUGAUAUUUUGAACCGCAUGGUUCAAAAGUGAAAGACGGUCUUGCUGUCACUUAUAGAUGGAUCCGCGCUGCAUUAGCUAGUUGGUAAGGUAACGGCUUACCAAGGCAACGAUGCAUAGCCGACCUGAGAGGGUGAUCGGCCCCACUGGAACUGAGGCACGGUCCAGACUCCUACGGGAGGAAGCAGUAGGGAAUCUUCCGGAAUGAGCGAAAGCCUGACGGAGCAACGCCGCGUGAGUGAUGAAGGUCUUCGGAUCGUAAAACUCUGUUAUUAGGGAAGAACAUAUGUGUAAGUAACUGUGCACAUCUUGACGGUACCUAAUCAGAAAGCCACGGCUAACUACGUG
rnacentral:rRNA from 1 species